ensembl:lncRNA
CCCGCUCAAGCCACCGGUCCAACUCUGCGCUCAUCGCCACCGAGGAAAACAAAAGGAAACCGGCGGAGAGAAAAGAGGAAACGAGGUGGAGGCGCAUGGGGAAGGGGGAGGGAGGGAGGGAAGGAGGAGGCGGCGGCUUAGGGGCGGAGAGGGCGGGCUGGAGGGAUGGCCGAGAGGGCGGGGAUAGGGGAGAGGAGCAGCUACCAAAAGCGACGGGAGAAGGCUGGAGAUGGAACACGUUGCGCUGAAGUUUGGCGCUGACUCGAGAGAGAGGGGAGACAGAGGACUAGGAGAGAGGAAGGGACAAGCAGCGAUCACUCCUCAGUGACCCGCCCCUCCAGCCAAGCGCCCCAGGACUGGCCCGUCAUUCAUGCCCCCACCCUUCCCAGACCAGACUCUAUUACGAAGGCGGGGCCGCGAUGUAGGAGGCACCACGGCUGGACACCUCCCUCCAGCGCGCGCCUUAUGGUCCUUCCCCUCCCUUCUCCAGCCUCCUUACCUCCGACUUCUCACCUGAGCACUGCGGAGGAGGGAGAAGGGAGGAAGAAGGAGGAAAGAGGGAGGGUUAGGGGCGACUGGGGAGGUGGUUCCUGUAGCUCCGGCUCACUUGGUACGCGCCUGCCCCGCCCCUGCCCCGCCCCCGUCCCCAGCCUCUGCACUGAGCCUCUGCAGCAGGCAGGAAGUCCUGAACAGCCCGGCCUCGGGAACUGGGCGAGGGGUGGGUUCCUUGAGCCUAGAAAGCGAGGAACACCCAGCUGGAGCUCUCUGGAGCGUAGACCAUCCUCCUCAGGUUCAAGGUCUGAGUUAGCUGGAACAGAUGUUCCCUGUGGGAAGUGCUCUUGCAACUGGUUGUGUCUGCCGGGAGCUGUGGAAAUGGUCAGCACAGAAGCCAGGGAAAAGGACAUGGAUGGAACAAAUAAAUACAUACUGAGCUGCUUGCUGCGUCCAGCUGAGACCUUCCCCUUUCUCUGAGAGUGGUGCCCAUGGCAAAUGCCUUAGACACAAGGUAUCAAGACACUAUUUGUGACCUUCCUCACCUCCUUCCCCAUUCCCUGAUGGCCUUGGACAUUUCCAGCAUCUUUACUUAAAGGUGUUUCUCAACAUAGUGAACCAAGAGAUGUCUCUUGAGGACUACAAUAAGAAGACUAAUGGAUGUCUCAAAUUGUUACAAGAACAAUUGAAAGAUCUUAUUUAAGCCAUAUGAAGAGUCUGAAAAUGAUCUGAAGGCCUUACAAAAUGUUGGGCGGAUUGUGGGUGAAUUGCUGAAACAAAUAAUGGAAGAAAAAUUCAUUGUUAAAGCAACAAAUGGACCAAGACAUGUUGUGAGUUGUUAGUAUCAUCUUGACAAAAGUAAUCUGAAGCCACGGACAAGAAUUGCUUUGAAUAUGACUACACUUACUCUCAUGAGAUAUUUGUAAAAAAAAAAAAAAAAAUAUAUAUAUAUAUAUAUAUAUAUAUAUAUAUAUAUAUAUCCACUGAUUUAUAACAUGUUUCUUAUCCUGAGAUUGGAGAGCUAUCUGAUAAAUCAGAGAAUUGAGAGAAUUAUCCCUUACAAACCUUGAGUUAUUCCAGUGUGCAAGAAAAAUAACUCCAAAAGGUUGUUUGCUAAGUGGACUACCAGGAACAAGAAAAAAACACUCUUGGCAAGAGCUGUUGCUAGCCAGCUGGAUUGCAAUUUUGUAAAGGUUAUAUCUAGUUCUAUUGUAGGCGAGUAUGUUGGUGAAAGUGCCUAUUUGAUCAGAUAAAUGUUCAAUUGUGCCAGGGAUCACUGGUUGUGCAUCAUUUUCAUGGACGAAAUAGAUGCUAAUGGUAGCUGUUGGUUUUCUAAGUGUACUUCAGCUGGUAGAGAAAUUCAGAGAACUCUAAUGGAGUCACUGAAUUGAUGGAUGGAUUUGAUCCUUUUCACAGAGCAACAGUGAUCAUGGUUACAAACAGACCAGACACAUUGGAUUCUGCUUUGUUCCAUCUAGGAAGAUCAGAUAGAAAAAUACAUAUUGAUUUACCAAAUGAACAAGCAACAUGAGACACAAUGAAGAUUCAUGCUAGUUCUAUCACAAAACAAGGUGAAAUAGAUUAUGAAACAAUUGUGAAGCUCUUAGAUGGCUUUAAUGGAGCAGAUCUGAGUAAUGUUUAUACUGGAGCAGGUAUGUUUACAAUUCAUGCUGAUCAUUAUUUUGUUGUAAGGAAGGUUUCAUGAAAGCAGUCAUAAAAUUGGCUGAUUCUAAGAAGUUGAAGUCUAAACUACACAAUCAACCUGACUGAGUUAUAAAACAUGAAAGUUGUUAUUGCAAUAUAAAAAUAAAGUUGAGGAUAAUAAUGUGUAUUGGAUAUGA